GAUGAACGCUGGCGGCGUGCCUAAUACAUGCAAGUCGAGCGAACAGACGAGGAGCUUGCUCCUCUGACGUUAGCGGCGGACGGGUGAGUAACACGUGGAUAACCUACCUAUAAGACUGGGAUAACUUCGGGAAACCGGAGCUAAUCCCGGAUAAUCUCUUGAACCGCAUGGUGCAAUAGUGAAAGACGGUUUUGCUGUCACUUAUAGAUGGAUCCGCGCCGCAUUAGCUAGUUGGUAAGGUAACGGCUUACCAAGGCAACGAUGCGUAGCCGACCUGAGAGGGUGAUCGGCCACACUGGAGCUGAGACGCGGUCCAGACUCCUACGGGAGGCAGCAGUAGGGAAUCUUCCGCAAUGGGCGAAAGCCUGACGGAGCAACGCCGCGUGAGUGAUGAAGGUCUUCGGAUCGUAAAACUCUGUUAUUAGGGAAGAACAAAUGUGUAAGUAACUAUGCACGUCUUGACGGUACCUAAUCAGAAAGCCACGGCUAACUACGUG
rnacentral:rRNA from 1 species